rnacentral:ncRNA from 1 species
AUAAAUAUGAUGACUGGAAAGAGUAGAAGGCAAUUGGCUUCAAAGAGAGUGAACAUUUGGUGGGAGUUCACAGGUUCAAGCUUUUGAAAAUCAUCCAUGAGUUGCAGCCUGAAUGAAACGUAGGUAAGGUGUGCCGGUGACGAGCCGUUAUAGAAUGAAGUGAUUAUUGUCACGUUUUAAUUUUUAUGUCAGGAUUAUUAGUAUGUGACAAAAUAAAUUGGGUGGUACCGCGAAAACAGCCUCGUCCCUUAA